rnacentral:tRNA from 5 species
GCAUCCGUAGCUCAGCUGGAUAGAGUACUGCCCUCCGAAGGCAGGGGUCACAGGUUCGAAUCCUGUCGGAUGCGCCA